rnacentral:rRNA from 1 species
AGUGAACGCUGGCGGCGUGCUUAACACAUGCAAGUCGAACGAGAACGGAAUAUAGCUUGCUAUAUUUGUCAGCUAAGUGGCGCACGGGUGAGUAAUAUAUAGAUAACCUGCCCUUAAGAAAGGAAUAACAGUUGGAAACGACUGCUAAUGCCCUAUAUGCCUUUAAUACAUAGGUAUGCAAGGGAAACGCUUUAGUGCUUAAGGAUGGGUCUGUAUGGUAUCAGCUUGUUGGUGAGGUAAUGGCUCACCAAGGCUAUGACGCCUAACUGGUUUGAGAGGAUGAUCAGUCACACUGGAACUGAGACACGGUCCAGACUCCUACGGGAGGCAGCAGUGGGGAAUAUUGCACAAUGGACGAAAGUCUGAUGCAGCAACGCCGCGUGGAGGAUGACACAUUUCGGUGCGUAAACUCCUUUUAUAUAGGAAGAUAAUGACGGUACUAUAUGAAUAAGCACCGGCUAACUCCGUGCCAGCAGCCGCCGUAAAAC